GGUAGUAGCAAAUAUUCGAACGAGCUCUUGGAUGACUGAAGUGGAGAAGGGUUUCGUGUCAACAGCAGUUGAACACGAGUUAGCCAAUCCUAAGCCGCAUGGGAAUCCAGUCGUAACCCAUCAGUCGGCGAAAGGGAAUCCGGUUACCAUUCCGGAGCCUGUUGAGUACCCGUUUGCGCCACCUAGUAGGGUUUAGCUCGUCCGCACCCGAACGGUUAGUGUGUAGCUUCAUGGCAACAUGAAUCCUUUUCUUCGAGAAGCCAACGAGAGGCAUCGGAAGAGUUUUCUUUUCUGUUUUACAGCCACACCGACCAUGGAAGUCACUCACAGAGAGAUAUGGUUGGACCGGUCUGGUAGAGCACGGCCGCCGCAACUGCCGUGUCGAUGCACUCUUCUUGGACCGUGAAAAUCGAAGACUGGGGCACACUUUAUAUGGUAAUAACGCACACUCUCAACAGAUUGUACCGAAUCCGCAGCAGGUCUCCAAGGUGCAGAGUCUCUAGUC
rnacentral:rRNA from 1 species